GGUGACACUAACAUCUACGAUACGAUCAAUCCCUCAGACAACAAUGAUAAUGAUGCUGCUGGUGCUUCUGCUGCUGGACCAAGUCAUGUGACUUACGCCCAGAUUCAACUCAAAAGGUUGGACAAGAAAAAGAAAGAAAAGAGAAAUGAUCCUGAAGAAAAUCCAGUCUACUCUGAGGUGAAG